UAGGGAAUCUUCCACAAUGGACGCAAGUCUGAUGGAGCAACGCCGCGUGAGUGAAGAAGGCUUUCGGGUCGUAAAACUCUGUUGUUGGAGAAGAAUGGUCGGCAGAGUAACUGUUGUCGGCGUGACGGUAUCCAACCAGAAAGCCACGGCUAACUACGUGCCAGCAGCCGCGGUAAUACGUAGGUGGCAAGCGUUAUCCGGAUUUAUUGGGCGUAAAGCGAGCGCAGGCGGUUUUUUAAGUCUGAUGUGAAAGCCCUCGGCUUAACCGAGGAAGCGCAUCGGAAACUGGGAAACUUGAGUGCAGAAGAGGACAGUGGAACUCCAUGUGUAGCGGUGAAAUGCGUAGAUAUAUGGAAGAACACCAGUGGCGAAGGCGGCUGUCUGGUCUGUAACUGACGCUGAGGCUCGAAAGCAUGGGUAGCGAACAGGAUUAGAUACCCUGGUAGUCCAUGCCGUAAACGAUGAAUGCUAGGUGUUGGAGGGCUUCCGCCCUUCAGUGCCGCAGCUAACGCAUUAAGCAUUCCGCCUGGGGAGUACGACCGCAAGGUUGAAACUCU
rnacentral:rRNA from 1 species